GGUUUCCGGCUUUCCGCCGGCUCAAGAGGGUGCGCUGGUGCAGGAGCGCAGGACACGGCUCGGGGAUGUCAACGAGGGUGGCGGCAGAUGGCGAGGAUUAUGGUCAGGCUGGAGGAGCGUGCGUGCUGAACCGGAAAAGAUAACCACCGUCGCCACCUCGUAGUUUGAUAGGGGCAAGGGCCGCACGCGCGUGCGCAUGCCGGAGACGGAUCGUAGCCGUGCUGCUGCAUACGCCGCGCCGCUGUGAUCUCAGAUAUGUGUCGCGGUGCGGUGCGGCUGGUCCCAAUCCAAGGAAAGAAGGGUGCAAACUCCACGUGAGAAUAUGUGGUCUUUUUCCAAAGGCAAGAUGCAACGGUUUCCGCAAGUGAAUGAUGCACUUCCAUCCCCAGAUGCUGGUGCUGGUUGCAAAUGCUGGCAAUCUGUUGCUUGGUAAGGGGUCUUUUGCUCUUUAAAAAUGCUGAACAACUCUUGAUUGUGCAUGCUAUGGUAAAAAUUCCUUCAGGGUGAUGAUGUUUCUUUCUUUCUCUCUCUCUCUAACAGAAAUACAUUCUUCAUUUUUAAAAUUUUGGGGAGCCAGAAGAGAGACGAGUACAUAGUUGAAUAGUAAUCAGAGAAAAACAGUAGCCUGGGGAGGGAGAGCCUCUCCCGCAGUUCAUAGAGGGUUUCCAAAUCUAAAUUGCUAGAAAAGGAACCUGGUAUGAAAGUUUAAUGAAAACGAGAUAAGAAACAUCUCUGUUUGAUC
rnacentral:sRNA from 1 species